rnacentral:rRNA from 1 species
UGGCGCACGGGUGCGUAACGCGUGGGAAUCUGCCUUGGGGUUCGGAAUAACUCCCCGAAAGGGGUGCUAAUACCGGAUGAUGUCGAAAGACCAAAGAUUUAUCGCCCUGAGAUGAGCCCGCGUAGGAUUAGCUAGUUGGUGUGGUAAAGGCGCACCAAGGCGACGAUCCUUAGCUGGUCUGAGAGGAUGAUCAGCCACACUGGGACUGAGACACGGCCCAGACUCCUACGGGAGGCAGCAGUGGGGAAUAUUGGACAAUGGGCGAAAGCCUGAUCCAGCAAUGCCGCGUGAGUGAUGAAGGCCUUAGGGUUGUAAAGCUCUUUUACCCGGGAAGAUAAUGACUGUACCGGGAGAAUAAGCCCCGGCUAACUCCG